rnacentral:rRNA from 1 species
CGGGACGGGUGAGUAAUGUCUGGGAAACUGCCUGAUGGAGAGGGAUAACUACUGGAAACGGUAACUAAUACCGCAUAACGUCGCAAGACCAAAGAGGGGGACCUUCGGGCCUCUUGCCAUCGGAUGUGCCCAGAUGGGAUUAGCUAGUAGGUGGGGUAACGGCUCACCUAGGCGACGAUCCCUAGCUGGUCUGAGAGGAUGACCAGCCACACUGGAACUGAGACACGGUCCAG